rnacentral:rRNA from 1 species
AGAGUUUGAUCCUGGCUCAGGAUGAACGCUGGCGGCGUGCCUAACACAUGCAAGUCGAGCGAUUCUCUUCGGAGAAGAGCGGCGGACGGGUGAGUAACGCGUGGGUAACCUACCCUGUACACACGGAUAACAUACCGAAAGGUAUGCUAAUACGAGAUAAUAUGCUUUUAUCGCAUGGUAGAAGUAUCAAAGCUCCGGCGGUACAGGAUGGACCCGCGUCUGAUUAGCUAGUUGGUGAGGUAACGGCUCACCAAGGCGACGAUCAGUAGCCGACCUGAGAGGGUGAUCGGCCACAUUGGAACUGAGACACGGUCCAAACUCCUACGGGAGGCAGCAGUGGGGAAUAUUGCACAAUGGGCGAAAGCCUGACCCAGCGACGCCGCGUGAGGGAAGAAGGUCUUCGGAUUGUAAACCUUUGUCAACAGGGACGAAACAAAUGACGGUACCUGUGGAGGAAGCCACGGCUAACUACGUGCCAGCAGCCGCGGUAAUACGUAGGUGGCGAGCGUUAUCCGGAUUUACUGGGUGUAAAGGGUGAGUAGGCGGGAAGGCAAGUCAGAUGUGAAAUGCAAUGGCUCAACCAUUGAAUUGCAUUUGAAACUGCUUUUCUUGAGAGUCGGAGAGGUAAUCGGAAUUCCUAGUGUAGCGGUGAAAUGCGUAGAGAUUAGGAGGAACACCAGUGGCGAAGGCGGCCUACUGGGCUUUUACUGACGCUGAGGCUCGAAAGCAUGGGUAGCAAACAGGAUUAGAUACCCUGGUAGUCCAUGCUGUAAACGAUGAUUACUAGGUGUGGGCUGGAAACAGUCCGUGCCGCAGUUAACACAAUAAGUAAUCCACCUGGGGAGUACGGCCGCAAGGCUGAAACUCAAAGGAAUUGACGGGGGCCCGCACAAGCAGUGGAGUAUGUGGUUUAAUUCGAAGCAACGCGAAGAACCUUACCAGGUCUUGACAUCGGAUGCAUACCUAAGAGAUUAGGGAAGUCCUACGGGACAUCCAGACAGGUGGUGCAUGGUUGUCGUCAGCUCGUGUCGUGAGAUGUUGGGUUAAGUCCCGCAACGAGCGCAACCCUUAUUGCUAGUUACUACGAAAGAGGACUCUAGCGAGACUGCCGUUGACAAAACGGAGGAAGGUGGGGAUGACGUCAAAUCAUCAUGCCCUUUAUGACCUGGGCUACACACGUACUACAAUGGCUGCCAACAAAGUGAACCGAACCUGUGAGGGGGAGGAAAACACAAAAAGCAGUCUCAGUUCGGAUUGUAGGCUGCAACUCGCCUACAUGAAGCCGGAAUUGCUAGUAAUCGCGGAUCAGCAUGCCGCGGUGAAUACGUUCCCGGGCCUUGCACACACCGCCCGUCA